CCUAGAAAUACUGGCUCGGUAGAGGGUGGGAAUGCUGGAGUAUUUAGAAGGAAUGUCACUGACGUCUUUAGUGUAUUUUGAAAUACAUCAAGAAACUAAAUUGGAUUGCUGGAUGGAUUGGCAGGUGGCUUACUGCAGACUGUGAUAAGCAGAAGAUGAAGUGUUCAUAAAGAUUCCAGGUUUGGGUGUGCAGGUGUUGAAGCUGAGCAUGAGCAAGGAGCCUCCCUGCCUGGGAUCACAGCGCCAGCAUCCCUGCACCCCAUAGUCAAUCCUCCCUGCCACAUCUCCAUGCAGGGCUUCCCUCGGCUUUGACUUUCUAGCGCUGCGGAAGUACACCUUCUAGGACAGCAUCAACCUAACACAGCUAAGACAGUCGGCCGAUGCAUAUGGCCCAUCACAAAAAAAGACCACACUUCUGAAGCCUCUGAUCAAGGACCACAUCUGUUACAGCUGGCAAGCCGUGUCCCAGGAACCUCUUCCUUUCAACCCGGCCCUCUCCUUCCCUGUUCUAGGUUCCAUCCUCAGCACUACAUAAAGCAGGUAAGGAAGGAAGAUGGAGAGUCAAAGGCCACCCCUUCUUCAUUACAUAAUGAAUUCCAGGCUAACCUGUGAUACAC
rnacentral:lncRNA from 1 species